GACGAACGCUGGCGGCGUGCUUAACACAUGCAAGUCGAACGGUAAGGCCCUUCGGGGUACACGAGUGGCGAACGGGUGAGUAACACGUGGGUGAUCUGCCCUGCACUUCGGGAUAAGCCUGGGAAACUGGGUCUAAUACCGGAUAGGACCCUGGGAUGCAUGUCCUGGGGUGGAAAGCUUUUGCGGUGUGGGAUGGGCCCGCGGCCUAUCAGAUUGUUGGUGGGGUGAUGGCCUACCAAGGCGACGCCGGGUGGCCGGCCCGGGAGGGUGACCGGCCAGACGGGGACUGAGGUACGGCCCAGACUCCUGCGGGAGGCAGCAGUGGGGAAUGUUGCACAAUGAGAGCAAGCCUGAGGCAGCGACGCCGCGUGAGGGAUGACGGCCUUCGGGUUGUAGACCGCUUUCAGCACCGACGAAGCGCAAGUGACGGUAGGUGCAGAAGAAGGACCGGCCAACUACGUGCCAGCCGCCGCAGUAA
rnacentral:rRNA from 1 species